GAUGCCGCGGACGGACCGUGCGGAGGACUCUGGCGACGACACCGACGGUUUGGUUAAGUGGGUUCUCUUGUGUGUGCGUCUGUGUGUGAAUGGCAGGCCUGCCGUAUGAUUGUGUGUGUGUGCGCGGGGCGGUAUGCCUCGCGCUAUGAUUUCGUUAGGAUGUAUUUUUGUGUGUGUGAACUUUUUGCACGUAAUUUUUUUAUUAAUCCAUAGCUAGCGUUGUGUGUGUUGCUGUGUUCCGGGAGAUGGACGCCGGGGGACAUGGGCAGGGGGUGGCGCAUGUGCCCACCUCCGUCCGUGACCUCUUCAGCUGGGGAGACCGCGUGUUGCCCCGGCUGGAGAGACACGUUGAUGGAGACGGUCGCGUGUGUCAUCCCUUGCCUGUAUCCUCUGGCGUCCAGAGGCGCGUAAGUGGAGAGCAUCGGCGCAGCGCGGGAGCAGCACGUCAGGGUGUAGGGUGUUUGUUUAGCUGGUGUAGGGUGUUAGGGUGUUAGGUGUUAGGUGUAACAACGGUUGGCUCUUUCACAGAACGGGUGUGAUUCCGUUCUGCGUUUGAGUCUUCCACCUUCAGACGGUCUCCCUCCGAGAUGUCUGAAGUUUUUUUUGUCGGUUUUCUCCGUAGGAGGAAGCCGGCUCUAGCUACUCUGGCCUCUCUUCCGGGGGUCAGAGCGGUCGGGCUCUGCUUGGCCAGGCGUUGCCUUUCGCGUUGUCUCCGCCGAAGUUUUGCCAGACUCUUCCGUAAGGUUGAGCCUGGCUUUUUUAUUAGGUGGAUCAGGCUGCCUUCUUCCAAGGAGUCUGAUGGGAGUGGAGUCUUUUUUUUGGUGUAUGUCUGUGGGUGCUUAGUGGGUAAGGGCGGGUGGG